GACGAAUGCUGGCGGCGUGCUUAACACAUGCAAGUCGAACGGAAAGGCCCUGCUUGCCGGGUACUCGAGUGGCGAACGGGUGAGUAACACGUGGGUGAUCUGCCCUGCACUUCGGGAUAAGCCUGGGAAACUGGGUCUAAUACCGGAUAGGAGCCAUCUUUAGUGUGAUGGUUGGAAAGUUUUUUCGGUGUAGGAUGAGCUCGCGGCCUAUCAGCUUGUUGGUGGGGUAAUGGCCUACCAAGGCGGCGACGGGUAGCCGGCCUGAGAGGGUGGACGGCCACAUUGGGACUGAGAGACGGCCCAGACGCCUACGGGGGGCAGCAGGGGGGAAUAUUGCACAAUGGGCGCAAGCCUGAUGCAGCGACGCCGCGUGGGGGAUGACGGCCUUCGGGUUGUAAACUCCUUUCGCUAGGGACGAAGCUUUUGUGACGGUACCUGGAUAAGAAGCACCGGCUAACUACGUG
rnacentral:rRNA from 1 species